rnacentral:ncRNA from 1 species
CUAUGUUAGGUUAAAAGGGAAAAUGGUGAGAUGCCAUUACAGCCCCCGCUACUGUAUAAGUGUUAAAACGAUCAUAACCAUUGGCUAUUAGCUGAGAAGGGAUCGGUAUAAAAUGCACUUGAGUCAGGAAACCUGCUUUUAAAAU